UACGUAGGGUCCGAGCGUUGUCCGGAAUUAUUGGGCGUAAAGGGCUCGUAGGCGGUCCGUCACGUCGGGAGUGAAAACUCAGGGCUCAACCCUGAGCGUGCUUCCGAUACGGGCGGACUAGAGGUAUGCAGGGGAGAACGGAAUUCCUGGUGUAGCGGUAGAAUGCGCAGAUAUCAGGAGGAACACCGGUGGCGAAGGCGGUUCUCUGGGCAUUACCUGACGCUGAGGAGCGAAAGCAUGGGGAGCGAACAGG
rnacentral:rRNA from 1 species